CUUCAGGAUUUCACAAAAGAGUUGCAAUGGACACCUGAAAUGAAGCAUCAAAACAGCCAUUCCCACUUCUCAGUCAACAAGCAGAUUUUGUCUUCUGUUGAGAAUUGGAUCUGGUGAAGAUGACUUUUUCAACAGUAUCCAUUUAUCUGUACACAAAGUCUUGGAGCACCAUGUUGUCUGGGGAAGACUUCAAAAGCCAAGGCAGAAGAGAUGUGACCAAAAAAAAAAAAA